rnacentral:sRNA from 22 species
GUAAAGUUAAUCACAAACAAACAUAACCCCUUUGUUUGACCGUGAAACUUUCUCCCACCCCCCUGUCGAAUGAGACAUAAAAAGAAGGUUAGGCAUCCCUCCUAGCCUUCUUUU